rnacentral:rRNA from 1 species
UACAGAGGGGGCAAGCGUUGUUCGGAAUUACUGGGCGUAAAGGGCGCGUAGGCGGCCUGCUAAGUCGAACGUGAAAUCCCCGGGCUCAACCCGGGAACUGCGUCCGAUACUGGUGGGCUUGAAUCCGGGAGAGGGAUGCGGAAUUCCAGGUGUAGCGGUGAAAUGCGUAGAUAUCUGGAGGAACACCGGUGGCGAAGGCGGCAUCCUGGACCGGUAUUGACGCUGAGGCGCGAAAGCUAGGGUAGCAAACGGG